rnacentral:rRNA from 1 species
UGGCGGACGGGUGAGUAACGCGUGGGUAACCUGCCUUAUACAGGGGGAUAACAGUUAGAAAUGACUGCUAAUACCGCAUAAGCGCACAGGAUUGCAUGAUCUGGUGUGAAAAACUCCGGUGGUAUAAGAUGGACCCGCGUCUGAUUAGCUGGUUGGUGAGGUAACGGCCCACCAAGGCGACGAUCAGUAGCCGACCUGAGAGGGUGACCGGCCACAUUGGGACUGAGACACGGCCCAAACUCCUACGGGAGGCAGCAUG